CAACAACAGAGUCUCCAACAACAACGACUACAGAGGCUACAACCACAACUACAGCUGUCGCAACUACUACUACAGCUGCUCCAACAACUACAGAGUCUCCAACAACAACAACAGAGGCUACAACCACAACUACAGCUGUCGCAACUACAACUACAGUUGCUGCAACAACAACAACAGAGUCUCCAACAACAACAACUACAGAGGCUACAACCACAACUACAGCUGUCGCAACUACUACUACAGCUGCUCCAACAACUACAGAGUCUCCAACAACAACAACAGAGGCUACAACCACAACUACAGCUGUCGCAACCACUACUACAGUUGCUCCAACAACCACUAAGGAGUCUCCAACAACAACUACAGAGGCUACAACCACAACUACAGCUGCUCCAACAACCACUACAGAGGCUACAACAACGACUACAGAGGCUACAACCACAACAACAGCUGCCCCAACUACAACUACAGCUGCUGCAACAAGUACAGAGUCUCCAAAAACAACAACAGAGGCUACAACCACAACAACAGCUGCCCCAACUACAACUAUAAUUGCUGCAACAACAACAACAGAGUCUCCAACAACAACAACUACAGAGGCUACAACCACAACUACAGCUGUCGCAACAACAACUACAGCAGCUCCAACAACCACUACAGAGGGUACAACAACCACUAUAGAGCCAACAACCACAACUACAGCUGCCCCAACUACAACUACAGUUGCUGCAACAACAACAACAGAGUCUCCAACAAUGACUACAGAGGCUACAACCACAACUAUAGCUGUCGGAACAACUACAACUACAGUUGCUGCAACAACAACAACAGAGUCUCCAACAACAACGACUACAGAGGCUACAACCACAACUACAGCUGUCGCAACUACUACUACAGCUGCUCCAACAACCACUACAGAGGCUACAACAACGACUACAGAGGCUACAACAAGAACUACAGCUGCCCCAACUACAACUACAGCUGCAGCAACAUCUACAGAGUCUCCAACAACAACUACAGUGGCUACAACCACAACUGCAGCUGUCGCAACUACUACUACAGCUACUCCAACAACCACUACAGAGGCUACAACAACGACUACAGAGGCUACAAUAACAACUACUGCUGCCCCAUCUACAACAGCAGCUGCUGCAACAACAACUACAGAGUCUCCAACAACAACGACUACAGAAGCUGCAACAACAACUACAGCUGUCGCAACUACUACUACAGCUGCUCCAACAACCACAACAGAGGCUACAACAACAACUACAGCUGCCCCAACUACAACUAAAGUUGCUGCAACAACAACAACAGAGUCUCCAACAACAACGACUACAGAGGCUACAACCACAACUACAGUUGUCGCAACUACUACUACAGCUGCUCCAACAACCACUACAGAGGCUACAACAACAACUACAGAGGCUACAACCACAACUAUAGCUGCCCCAACUACAACAACAGUUGCUGCAACAACAACUACAGAGUCUCCAACAACAACGACUACAGAAGCUACAACAACAACUACAGCUGUCACAACUACUGCUACAGCUGCUCCAACAACCACUACAGAGGCUACAACCACAACUACAGCUGCCCCAACUACAACAACAGCUGCUGCAACAACUACAGAGUCUCCAACAACAACGACAGAAGCUACAACCACAAACACAGCUGUCGCAACCACUACUACAGUUGCUCCAACAACCACUACGGAGUCUCCAACAACACCUACAGAGGCUACAACCACAACUACAGCUGUCACAACUACUACUACAGCUGCUCCAACAACCACUACAGAGGCUACAACAACCACUACAGAGGCUACAACCACAACUAUAGCUGCCCCAACUACUACUACAGCUGCUGCAACAACAACAACAGAGUCUCCAACAACAACGACUACAGAGGCUACAACCACAACUUCAGCUAUCGCAACUACUACUACAGCUGCUCCAACAACCACUACAGAGGCUACAACAACCACUACAGAGGCUACAACAACACCUACAGCUGUCCCAACCACAACAACAGUUGCUGCAACAACAACAACAGAGUCUCCAACAACAACGACUACAGAGGCUACAACCACAACUACAGCUGCCCCAACUACAACAACAGCUGCUGCAACAACUACAGAGUCUCCAACAACAACGACUACAGAAGCUACAACAACAACUACAGCUGUCGCAACUACUACUACAGCUACUCCAACAACCACUACAGAGGCUACAACAACUACAGCUGCCCCAACUACAACUACAGUUGCUGCAACAACAACAACAGAGUCUCCAACAACCACUACAGAGGCUUCAACAACGACUACAGAGGCUACAACAAGAACUACAGCUGCCCCAACUACAACUACAGUUGCUGCAACAACAGAGUCUCCAACAACAACGACACAAGAAGCUACGACCACAACUACAGCUGUCGCAACGACUACUACAGCUGCUCCAACAACCACUACAGAGUCUCUAACAACCACUACAGAGGCUACGACCACAACUACAACUGCCCCAACUACAUCUACAGUUGCUGCAUCAACAACAACAGAGUCUCCAACAACAACGACACAAGAGGCUACAACCACAACUACAGCUGUCGCAACGACUACUAUAGCUGCUCCAACAACUACUACAGAGGCUACAACAACCACUACAGAGGCUACAACCACAACUACAGCUGCCCCAACUACAACUACAGCUGCUGCAACAACUACAGAGUCUCCAACAACAACAACAGAGGCUACAACCACAACUACAGCUGUCGCAACUACUACUAUAGCUGCUCCAACAACCACUACAGAGUCUCCAACAACCACUACAGAGGCUACGACCACAACUACAACUGCCCCAACUACAUCUACAGUUGCUGCAUCAACAACAACAGAGUCUCCAACAACGACUACAGAGGCUACAAACACAACUACAGCUGUCGCAACUACUACUACAGCUGCUUUAACAACUAUAGAGGCUACAACAGCCACUAUAGAGGCUACAACCACAACUAUAGCUGCCCCAACUACAACAACAGCUGCUGCAACAACUACAGAGUCUCCAACAACAACGACAGAGGCUACAACCACAACUACAGUUGCCCCAACUACAACUACUGCCGCUCCAAUAACAACUACAGCUGCCACAACCACAACAACUGAUACACAAACCACAACUACAGUUGCACCAACGACUACAGAGUCUCCAACCACAACUACAGAGGUAUCUACAACAACUACAGCUGCUAUAACCACGACUACAGCUCCUUCCACAAUAACUACAGAGGCCCUUACCAGCAGAACCACAGCUACAUCCCCUGAAACUACAACCCCUGCAUCUACAACCCCUGAAACUACAACCCCUUCAACCACAACCCCUGCAACUACAAUCAUUGCAACUACAACCCCUGCAAGUACAACCACAGCAUCAGCAAUCACUGCAACUACAAUCUCUGCAACUACAGCUAUUCCACUCAGUACGGUGCCUGUGGUAUUCAGGUCCUUAGGGGAGAACUUCACCUCUGACUUAACAAACAUAUCAACCCAGGCCUUUCAAAACCGAGCAUUACUCAUUAAAACUCAGCUUGAACCUUUUUAUCAAUCAGCUUUCGUCUCUUUUUAUAGUUUAACUGUGACACAAUUCAGCUCUGGAUCCAUCAUUAAUCAUAUGGAUUUAGCAUUCUACUCCUCCUCUGUACCUAAUAAUAAAGAGAUUGGAACCAUUUUGAUAAAAGCUGCACAAAACAUCACAGUGUUCAACAUCGACUCCACCUCAGUGACUGUGAACAACACAGAUAUUUUUGCAGCAACUACGUUACCUCCAUCAUCUGCUGUAGUCACCCCUGUGGCAGAUACUACCACUUCAACAACUGGACAACCUCAUACUGUUCUCGUCACGGCUGCUACGACUGGACCCAGAAACACCACCACUACAUUGUUGUCUCCCUCAACAGUAUCAAAUAUAGCAUCAACCCUGGCCACACUAACUACCAGAACAACUCCAACCACCACUACAACCAACCCACAAACAACCUCUCUUACAAUAACUACAGCUGUGUCCAACAUCACAACAGCUUCUGUCAACACAACCAAAGCCGCCAAUACAACAACUACAGCUUCUGUCAACACAACCAAAGCCGCCAAUACAACAACAACUACAGCUUCUGUCAACACAACCAAAGCUGCCAACACAACAACAACUACAGCUUCUGUCAACACAACCAAAGCUGCCAAUACAACAACAACGACCACAGCUUCUGUCAACACAACCAAAGCUGCCAAUACAACAACAACGACCACAGCUUCUGUCAACACAACCAAAGCUGCCAAUACAACAACAACGACCACAGCUUCUGUCAACACAACCAAAGCUGCCAAUACAACAACAACGACCACAGCUUCUGUCAACACAACCAAAGCUGCCAAUACAACAACAAUGAUCACAGCUUCUCCCUCAACAAGCUUGGGUGCUUCAACAGUCUUUCAAGGUACUCCUACAGCAACUAUUUUUCAACCUUUAACUGUGGCUGGUACCACCACUAGAACAACUGGACAACCUGUCACUGUUCCUACGACUGGACCCAGAAACACAACCACUACAUUUGGGUCUCCCUCAACAGCAUCAAAUGCAGCAUCAACACUGGCCACACUAACUACCAGAACAACUCCAACCACCACUACAACCAGCGCACCAACAACUACUAAAACCACAACUGCAACUACUACAACAACUACAACAACUACAGCAACUACUAGGACAACCACCACAACUGCACCUAUUCAACCUGCUCCAGUGGUGGUUUUCAUCAUACAACAACUUUAUGUCCCACAAUUAAGUAACCCUGCGAGUACAGAGUUCCAAACCCUUGCAUUAACUGUUAUUGCAGCGUUUGAUGUGAUCUACAAAACAAAAUACGGAAGCUUCUUCAUUAGGACGAUAGUUCUCGCAUUCACACCUAUUACCCGUUCCCGGAGUGCAGACACGCAGGCUGAGGUGAAGCUGGUGUUUAACCAGACCGCCGCACAACCGGUACCUCAACUUGCUGAAAUUGGGGACACGCUAAAGGCAGCUCUGAACAGUUCCAACAGUACCAUCGGCAACCUCACAGUGGUGUCAGACUCCAUCAAAGUUACAGUACUCACCUCAAAUACAACAACUACUCCUGUCAUUACUUCCGCCAUCACAUCUACAACCCCUGCAACUACAACCACUACAGCUGUUCCACUCAGUAUGGUGCCUGUGGUAUUCAGGUCCUUAGGGGAGACCUUCACCUCUGACCUAUCAAACUCAUCAACUCAGGCCUUUCAAAACCGAGCAUUACUCAUUAAAACUCAG
ensembl:lncRNA